rnacentral:rRNA from 1 species
UACGUAGGGGGCAAGCGUUGUCCGGAAUCAUUGGGCGUAAAGCGCGCGUAGGCGGCCCGGUAAGUCCGCUGUAAAAGUCCAGGGCUCAACCCUGGAAAAGCCCGGUGGAUACUGUCGGGCUAGAGUCCGGAAGAGGCGACUGGAAUUCCUGGUGUGCGGUGAAAUGCGCGAUAUCAGGAAGAACACCCGUGGCGAAAGCGGCUCCUGUAG